AUCGAACGCUGGCGGCAGGCCUAACACAUGCAAGUCGAGCGGAAGAAGGGAGCUUGCUCCUGGAUUCAGCGGCGGACGGGUGAGUAAUGCCUAGGAAUCUGCCUGGUAGUGGGGGAUAACGUCCGGAAACGGGCGCUAAUACCGCAUACGUCCUGAGGGAGAAAGUGGGGGAUCUUCGGACCUCACGCUAUCAGAUGAGCCUAGGUCGGAUUAGCUAGUUGGUGGGGUAAAGGCCUACCAAGGCGACGAUCCGUAACUGGUCUGAGAGGAUGAUCAGUCACACUGGAACUGAGACACGGUCCAGACUCCUACGGGAGGCAGCAGUGGGGAAUAUUGGACAAUGGGCGAAAGCCUGAUCCAGCCAUGCCGCGUGUGUGAAGAAGGUCUUCGGAUUGUAAAGCACUUUAAGUUGGGAGGAAGGGCAGUAAGUUAAUACCUUGCUGUUUUGACGUUACCAACAGAAUAAGCACCGGCUAACUUCGUG
rnacentral:rRNA from 1 species